rnacentral:rRNA from 1 species
GAUCAUGGCUCAAGAUGAACGCUGGCGGCGUGCCUAAUACAUGCAAGUAGAACGCUGAAGGAAGGAGCUUGCUCUUUCCGGAUGAGUUGCGAACGGGUGAGUAACGCGUAGGUAACCUGCCUGGUAGCGGGGGAUAACUAUUGGAAACGAUAGCUAAUACCGCAUAACAGUAGAUAUUGCAUGAUAUCUGCUUGAAAGGUGCAAAUGCAUCACUACCAGAUGG